AAAGAUAAGAAUCUGACCAAUCAGCGACGAGGACUGCAACUUAUUAUACCCCCCCGACCCUCGCCAUCAUCCGUCGUUGGUUUCUUUUAUGUCUUUGUGUGAGUGCUUCAAUGAAUUCCGCCACUGUUCAAAUAUUUGCAUGUACGCUGCGAUGAUGAGGGCCCUAUUCUCGGAAUUUUUUUUUUCUCGCUUCUUGGGACGAUACAAAAUGUGCUACUGGAUUUCUUUCUCUUCUAUUCUCAACCUCUAGCAUUUUCAGAUCAUCAAGAUAUCGAAUUCUCGGCGGGAAGAAAGCCAUCGCCAUUGGAAAUUACUUUCAGCAAGUCUUACAGCAUCAUCAUCAAAAGUGUCUUUUAUUUUGAUGUCUGGGUCAUCGGAUCGCCGUUUUAUUAUGGGCGGAUUGAUGUCUUACGCAAUCGUAAUAUCAGUUCGUAUAUUUAGUUGACCACCGUUUCCUAAAAAUUUCAACUGCAUUUUUUUUUUAAUUUCUUAUUUCUCCUCCAAAGAGACUGGGACGAUGGCCGCUCGUUGACUAGAAAAAACUUAAGACAUGAAAAAAACAAAAAAAAAAAACGCCCCGUUACAGGACGACAUUGUUUUGACACUUGGCCAUUUCUUUUAGUAUUUUUUGUGUGUGUGUUGUAUUUCAUAAACGUAUAUAUAUUUUUUUUUAUUUUUUUCCUUUCUGGACCAUCUCCAUCCUCUUGGUGCAGUUGAAGAAACCGCCCAGAGAUAAGACGUUAAGGGUUCGACAAACUAAUUACACACUAGCCAAAAGUGAAUACAAACCAAUCUAAGUUUAA